rnacentral:rRNA from 1 species
AUACGUAGGGGGCGAGCGUUGUCCGGAAUUACUGGGCGUAAAGGGUGCGUAGGCGGCCGAUUAAGUCAGAUGUGAAAUACCAUGGCUCAACCAUGGGGGUGCAUAUGAAACUGGUUGGCUUGAGUGCAGGAGAGGAAAGUGGAAUUCCUAGUGUAGCGGUGAAAUGCGUAGAGAUUAGGAGGAACACCAGUGGCGAAGGCGACUUUCUGGACUGUAACUGACGCUGAGGCACGAAAGCGUGGGGAGCAAACAGGAUUAGAUACCCUGGUAGUCCACGCCGUAAACGAUGGAUACUAGGUGUAGGGGGUAUCGACCCCCCCUGUGCCGGAGUUAACGCAAUAAGUAUCCCGCCUGGGGAGUACGGCCGCAAGGUUGAA